CGGACGGGUGAGUAACGCGUGGAAAACCUGCCGUAUACUGGGGGAUAACACUUAGAAAUAGGUGCUAAUACCGCAUAAGCGCACAGCUUCGCAUGAAGUGGUGUGAAAAACUCUGGUGGUAUACGAUGGUUCCGCGUCUGAUUAGCUUGUUGGUGGGGUAAUGGCUCACCAAGGCGACGAUCAGUAGCCGGCCUGAGAGGGUGAACCGGCCACAUUGGGACUGAGACACGGCCCAAACUCCUACGGAAGGCAGCAG
rnacentral:rRNA from 1 species